GGGCGAAGCCUGACGGAGCACGCCGCGUGGGGGAAGAAGGUUUUUGGAUUGUAAACCCCUUUUCUCAAGGAAGAACAAAAUGACGGUACUUGAGGAAUCAGCCUCGGCUAACUCCGUGCCAGCAGCCGCGGUAAUACGGAGGAGGCAAGCGUUAUCCGGAAUUAUUGGGCGUAAAGCGUUCGUAGGCGGCUGUUCUAGUCUGCUGUCAAAGACCGAGGCUCAACCUCGGGUAGGCAGUGGAAACUGGAUAGCUAGAGGUCGGUAGGGGCAGAGGGAAUUCCCAGUGUAGCGGUGAAAUGCGUAGAUAUUGGGAAGAACACCGGUGGCGAAAGCGCUCUGCUGGGCCGAACCUGACGCUGAGGGACGAAAGCUAGGGGAGCGAAUGGGAUUAGAUACCCCAGUAGUC
rnacentral:rRNA from 1 species